rnacentral:rRNA from 1 species
GUUGAACGCUGGCGGCAGGCCUAACACAUGCAAGUCGAGCGAGCGGCGGACGGGUGAGUAAUGUAUGGGGACUUCCCGAUAGAGGGGGAUAACUACUGGACACGGUAGCUAAUACCGCAUACUAUCGGAUAACCCAUAUGGGAUUAGCUAGUAGGUGAGGUAAUGGCUCCCCUAGGCUACGAUCCCUAGCUGGUCUGAGAGGAUGAUCAGCCACACUGGGACGGAGACACGGCCCAGACUCCUACGGAGGCAGCAGUGGGGAAUAUUGCGCAAUGGGCGAAAGCCUGAUGGAGCCAUGCCGCGUGUGUGAAGAAGGCCCUAGGGUUGUAAAGUACUUUCAGUAGGGAGGCGUUACCGAAAGAAAAAGCACCGGCUAACUCCGUGCCAGCAGCCGCGGUAAUAC